rnacentral:tRNA from 5 species
GCCGUCGUGGUGAAAUUGGUAUACACGCAAGACUUAAAAUCUUGUGCUCUCAACAAGCGUGUGGGUUCGACCCCCUCCGACGGCACCC